AACACCAAAAAAGCCAGCAACCCAAUUGAAAAAUGGGCAAAAGACCUGAAUAGACAUUUCUUCAAAGAAGAUACAGAUGGUCAACAAAUACAUGAAAAAAUAUUUACCUUCUAAGAACUCACAGUCUGAUAACUCAUGAGAUAGGUAAAUGCAACGUAGAGAGAGAUCUAAACCAAGCUAGGUGAGUUAAGGCACUUCAGGGAUCUGAAGAAAUGAGUUCUAAACUAAAUGCUGAAGGAUGUAUGAUCUGCUAGGAAAUUAUAAGAAUAAGGGAAACUUUUAUGUAGAAGGAAAAAUCAUGAAGCAACAUGGUAAUUGCAACUUUUGGGAGCAAGUGGAGGAACAGACACUAAGGAAGUAACUAGGGAAAAGCACAUAGACUUGCAGGUUUCAUGCUAGAUUUUGAUUUUUAGGAGUUCCUGCUGUGGUGCAGUGGGUUAGGUAUCAAACUGCAGCCACUGGAGUCACUGAAGAGGUGUGGGUUUCAUCCCUGGCCCAGGAACAUUGGGUUAAAGGAUCCAGUGUUGCUGGAGCUGAGGCUUAUGUUGCAGCUGUGGCUUGGAUACAAUCCCUGGUGUGGGAACUUCCAUAUGCUGCAAGUGUGGCCAUAACAAAAUCAGAAGGUUUUGAUUUUUAGCUUUUUCUAAGAUGUUUUCUCUUUUGAUAAAAAUGUGGAAAAUCAUAAUUUGCAGAUUUUAUGAAAAGAUUAAAUAAGUACAGAUUUGCCUAAAAGCAUCUUUGUGAGGCACUUAAUAAAUUACAUCUUUUCUUAUUAAUCCGGCUAAGUAGAAACCACAGAAGUAUUUAGCAGAUUUGUGUAAAAGGUGGACAAAUCUAACAUGUCAACUGGAUUUAAAAGUGGGCAAGACUGGAAACAGUUGCAGCAAUCCAAGAACGAAAUGAGAGUGAUUAAAGGCAGAGAUAUUUAGUACAGAGGACUACUAGAAUCUGGAUCAGCUGGAUAUAGAGAUGAAUAAGGCAAAGGAGAUGGGCUAUAGCCAAUUAAGAAGUUUAGUUUAGAAAUAUACGAGAUUUUCAUUUUCUUUUAAUAUUCCUUUGUGGUAGCAGUGGCAGAAAAAUCUACUUUUUUUAAACAAUUGUUUUGUCUUUCUGGUGUGGGAUUAUGAAAUAUUUCCUUAUUACUCUGUGAGCCAUUCCCUUGGCUCCAAGCUAAAUUAAUGCAAUAUUUCUUACAAGAGGAAAACUUUGACAACUGAAAAAGGGUAUGGUGUACAAAAUUAGAAUUAACCUAUUCCAUAGGAUGGUUGUGAUAAUUAUUUUGAAAUAAUUUGUAAAGCCAAGGCUAUAUUAAUUGUAGCUGAAAGUAUCAACUAUGUAGAAAUCUUGGUGAUGUUUCCAGUCUACUUUGGUAAUUUGUAUCUCGGUUUAAAAUCACUCUAAAGAAUGGGUCAGACACUUCACUCUUGAUUUUCAUUACCCAUUUUUGGCAAUCCCCCAAAAAAUCAUUUAAAUGUUAUCUUUCUCUUCAACUACUGGAAAAUAUUAAAACUAGGGAGUAAAGGCUGGAAUAACGAACUACGAAAGUAUUGAAGAUAAAGCAAACAAUAAAGUGCAAAGUCAUCUUUUACACCAGGGGAGAGGAAGUACUAAGAGAGUCAGGGACUAUUGCACCCACUCUCACACAAACGAAAAGGUCAACUCCCAGAAGGAAAGAGUGCCCUGAAAAGCACAUCCUCAAAAAGGGGGAGGGACUAUAGACGGAAAGGAGACACCUCCCUGGGCUAAGAGCAAAGGUCAAAAAGGUUUCUAUGGUGGUCCAGUCCCUUGCAGGUAAGCAUCAACGCAUUUGUUCUGUUCCUACAAAUGUAAGCAACCCAAGUUUUAAUUUAUCUGUUUUCUUCACUUAUCAAUUUUUAUUUUGGCCAUUUCCCCCCUCAGGUGGCUCUGCCCUUCAUUGUGGUCUCAUCUGCCAAGCACGAAAACUCACACUCACAACUAUUCCAAGCAGGGAGAUGGGAGAAGUGUCAACAGGAAUUCAGUGUCCUUUGGCUCUUCUCAACACUCAGGAGGACAGAAAAGAACCAGUUCAUCCUCCUUGAGAAUUCAUCCCCUCCCCCCAGGCGGAUGUGGGCUACAGCAAUCCUCCUUACCAGGAGCACACAUUUCCCAGCAUAGGCGUUCGCUUGCGCCACAAGGGUAUUUGUUUUCCAGCCAAUCCUGAGCUCAGGGCCACUGGCCCUUAGCAACAGCCCUGGAGAAGGGCCAGGGAUUGGGACACAGCAUUUAACGUUACUGAGCCGGAAGCCUCGGUGAAGUGGCUGACUCCUGGUUACUUCUGCAAAGUAGCCUCAGAGUGGAAACAAUGAGCUCCAUUAAAGUCUAUUAUACCAGCGUAUCAGGGUCUAGGGAGGUGAGUGGAAAGAAAAGGGUCUCAGUGGGCAAAAAAGGAGAAGAUGAAGACAUUCCAGUUGGGGAAUUCAGGAUUGUGCUGAGACAUUUCCUUGCCCUUUCUGCCUGACAUUCUUCAGCUUCCUUCUCUGUAGGUUUUCUGGGUGGGAGGUGCAGAGAACAGAGAACGUGGUUAAUGCCAUCAUCCAGGUUGUGCACUAAGAACUGGGUGAUCUAGGAGGGUUCUGUAUCCUGAGCUCAACCAUCUUAAGAGCUUCCGAUAAUUUUGUGGAUGUUUAAAAUGGAAGAGAUAAAAAACAUUGUUUAGGAUUGGAGAGAAGAAAUGCCAGUGAGUGAAUGCCCAAAAUCCCCAGAGAAGUCCAGGCAACCCCCAAAAGACAAACUGAUUAAUUUCUAAGAAGAAGGUGUAUUUGCAUAUAUCAGACAUUUCUUUGUUUAAUUAGCGUUUAGAUGAAAAUUUUGACCAAGAUGUAAGAAGUAUUAUAGAACAGUGCUUUUCAAUAGCAAUAUAUUGUGAGCCACAUGUAAUUUUAAAUUUUCUAGUAGCCGCUUAAUAAAAGAGAAAAGAGACUAAUUUUAAUAUAUUUUAACACAAAAUAGACUGUUAUCAUUGCAACAUAUAAUCAGUAUAAAAAUAGAAACGUAUUUUUUUCAUAUUAAGUCCUCAAAAUUCAGUAUGUAUUUUGCACUUAUAGUACAUCUCGUUUUGGACUAGCAACACUUCAAGUGCUCAGUAGCCACAUGUGGCUAGUGGUUAUCACAUUAGACAGCACAGUUAUAGAAGGACCAUUACAUCGCUACAAUCCUCAUUGCGCAAAGUUUUUGGAAAAGCCUGAAACCUGGAAGGAUUUGGAAUUGAUUAUAAAUGGUUGACAAACAUUCAUCAUACUCCUGCUGUGUGUCAGAUAUCAUGAUAGGUAUCCAACAUGAUAGAGAUCAAAGAAUGAGAUUUGAUCCCAGCCUAGAAAAGAUUCAUGGCUUUUCAUAAAGCCUCAUCAGAUAGAUUAAGGAUUUCACUUGGGUACUAAGACACAACAAAAAGAAAUAGUUUAAAAAAGAAAAUUAUGGGCACUUUGACUAAUUUUUUUUAAACACUGUGAAUUAUGUUAAUGGAUAUGGUACUGAGUCUGUAAGAGGGAAUGAUUUAAAAUCAGUAAGGACUACAGUGGAUGAAGUAGAGGGUUCACCCAAGUGCUGGUGUGUGUUGCACUAAACUGUAACAUAAAAAUAAUAUGGAAGGCUGGGAUCCCUGAGACCCACUGGGACUGACUCCAAGAGAUUCUCACUCUGGUUUUGGGGUAGGGUAAAUCUGAUGCUGCCACUAUUAUGAACCAUACUCAGAAUAGCAUUGGUAUAAGCAACCGUUCCUCUCUUAAUGGAUUUCUCUGAAAAGGUUUUGAAAAACCACUGUAAAAAUGUGACUUAAGCCUUGUGCACCAUGCUUUUGCAAUUUUAAAAAAUAAAUGAGCCUCAGAAAGUGGAAAUGUUGCAUUUUGGAAUUUCAGAAAUUUCUCAACCAUUAGAAAUAAGCAGGAUUUUCUAAGCAUGGCUGGAUUACAUUUUCAAGUCAACAAACAAAAAGCUUUACUGGUGAAGCAUAGACAGGAAGAAGUUAUCAGAAUUUUAGAUACAUACAAAAUAAAGUAUGAAUUAAUAGACAUAUCUGUCAGUUUGAAAGUACUUCAAGAAAUGAGGAUGAAGGUUUCCACCCCUAAAGCUCUACCACCUCAGAUAUUCAAUGGUCAAGAAUAUUGUGGAGAUUUUGAAAUGUUUCACAAAGCAAAGGAGAACAAAGAAAUUCUGAAAUUCCUGAAGAUGGAAUGAAUGGGAAGCAAUGAUACAAAAGAUGUUUACCAAUGCGGAUCUGCAUAUACUUCCAUAUACAUUGGCUACUUUUAAUUAUACUAGUAGAACUGUUUCAUUAAAGAUAAUUGCUACUUAGACUAUGUUGUAAUGACUAACAUGUAGUUCUUUACUAUUUUCAUCAUGCAUUAAAAUCAUUCCAUUACACUGAACAUUUUAUAAAGCUGUGUAAAAAGAAAAACUUUGUUAAAUAUAUAUAUCAACAUCAAACUUUUUUUAAAUCACUUGUAGCUGCCAAUCUAUAGGUAUAAAAUAGACUUUUAGUGCAAUUUUCAAUUUGCUUUCAACAUUAUUUUUUAAAUGUUUCUCAAUACAUUUAACAUAGGACUACAUCCUGUAUUGGGGCUGUUAUAAAACACAAAAGAAAAGGGAAAUCACUGGGCUCCAUUCCAAAUCCUCGCAAGUGGAAAUAGGGAGGGAAUAAUAAUUUGUAUUUUUGUUUAUUUGUUUUGUUUUGUUUAUUAAUGGUCUCACCUGCAUCACGUGGGAAUUCCCAGGGCCAGGGUAUUGAAUCUGAGCCACAACUGACACCCACACUGCAGCUGUGGCAAUGCUGGAUACUUUAACCCAUUACACCAAGCCAGGGAUUGAACUUAUGUCUCCACAGUGACCUGAUCUGCUGCAGUUGGAUUCUCAACCCACUGUGUCACAAUGUGAAAUCUGAAUUUGUAUUGUUAAAAAAGUCCCCAGGUGGGGUACACUAAACUCUGAGAAGUAAUACUAAAGAAUAAGAAAAGUUUUAAUUCAUGUGUCCCUUGACCUCCACCUUCUCUAUAAAAUUGUAGUCUUCCUCCAAGUUUAUUUAUCCACCUGUGACUUCUAUCUUAUUGAAUGAUACUUUCAUUCACUCAAACCCCAACUCAGAAUACUGAGAGUCAUUCUUAAUAUUGCCUACUCCUUCACUUUCAAUCAGUCACCAAACCUUAGAUGAGCUAAUCUUGAUACCUCAGUUACUUCUCCAGCUCUCCAGCUAUUGGUCUUGUUGCUGUCCUCAUGACUCUUGCCAUGCUAUUGCAAUAAUAUCUUAUCUACCUGCUUCCAAUUUUACUAUUCUAGAAUAUGCUCUUUCAUUACAGCUAAAUCAGGACUUUUCAACCUUGACUGAACUUUGGAGUCACCUGAGGAACUUUUAAAACCAUGAAGAUUUAAUAAUUUUAAUGUGUAACUAAAGUUGAAAACAACAGAAUUAGAAAGAUCUUUCUGAAUAUAAGUUUAGUUAAGUAUAUAUAGCCUACAGCAAAAUAUUUCUUACAUUGUGCUGUAGGAAACCACAUUCCUCAGAAUCAUAUGGGGAACUUAAUAAAUAUGAAGAUUCCUGAACUCUUCCCCAGAUCCACAAAGUUAAGCAAAGAUAUUUGGAAUUUAAAUAGGUGGAUUCAUAUAAUGCACUAAUUUUUGAGAAGUGUUUAUCUAUAGGUUAAAAUCUAAACCCUGUGCUCAUUCUCUGAAAAAAACUUUUGCAGAUCAUUCUUUUCCUGUCUUUUAGUUACAUCCAACUCUCUUCCCCAUUAACACUACUUACCUAUUUGUAGUUUCCUAAAUGUGUCAUCUUUGCAUUAUAUUGACUUUUUUGUACACACUUGCAGGCCUACAUCAUCCUGCCAUCUGCUUGACAAAUAAUCACUGAUAUUUCAAGUAAAACUCCCCUAAGAUGCCUUUUGUGACCUCUUCCUCCCAAAUAGAAUGAAACAUCAUUCUUCUUUAUGACCCAGAUGGUAUCUAGUAGCUAUUUUUAUUGCAGCACUAGUAGAAGUUUAGAAUUAUUGCCUCCUUUAAAAGUUAUAAUUGUCAAUACUUCUUCAGUGCUCACUCUGUUCCAGACACUUCUCUAAAGUGCUUUAUGUAAAUUUAUCUCAUUUAAUCCCUACAACCCUAUGAGAUAGGUGCUAUAAUCUUCCACAUUCUAUGGAUGAAGAAAAUUAGUUGCCAAGUGGUAAUUUACACAAGGCUGCACAGAUAAUUAGAGAUAAACUUAUAUUUUGGAUCCAUUACAUAGGCAAAGUAAAAGGCCCUUCCUUAGUAGAUAGAGUGAAAGACGAUCUGAAAGGAGAGAAAGCAGCAAAAAAAUGAGUCAGUGUUGUGGGUCCCUAUAAAAGAAAUCCCACAGAUUGGCCCUUCUUAUGGUCAAAACCCCCAGAGAGAUGGGAAAUAGAGUUCCUUAAAAUCUCAGCUAGUUUCAGGGGAACCUCUUAUUUCUAAGGUCUAGCCAGAGAAGUCACACAGCCUCUCAUUGCACAACAACUGUUAAGUUGCAAUUCAUAUGUGAGGGCCCAGGAUAUUGGGACCGAAGGCAGCCUUGUAAUGCCUUACAUCUCCAUUACAGUGAGUAAAAAGAGAAUCCCAAGCUUGCCCAUGACCCUCAUGAAAAUAAAUGAAGACCAACCAAAUAAGAACAAUUAAAAGCUAUCCACUCAGAGAUUGCUACAGAAAGUAGAUCAGUCACCACCAUUUUCAUUUUUCAGAAACUCAAAGAUUGGCAAUGGAGUGGGAAAGCUUUAUAGUGGAAAAAAAAAAAAGGAAGGCUUCAGUUAUGCCCUAAUUGGAAGCUGUUAGGUGAACAUAUUUGGUUUUCUCCACCUAGUCCUAAUUUGUAAGCAGAGCUAAAAAUUAGGGAAGCUGGCAGUUGUUGAUCAUGUUUUGGUCAUUUUGGACUGAUUGCUACAGAGGAUGUUUGACUUCCUGUAUGGUUUACUGAAGAGGUUGUGGCUUGGCUUCCUGGGUUAGCUGUUACAAGUUAUGAGUCUGAGUUCCAUUUUUAUAUAAGGCUGGACUUUGUCUAUGUACUUGGUUUCACACUCCAGUCUAAGAGAAGAUAAAAGGUGACUAGGUAUGAGUCAGCAGAUAUAGAAAGCUUCAAAAAGAUACAUAUACUCCAAUGUUCAUUGCAGCAUUAUAUACAAUAGCCAAGACAUGGAAACAACCUAAAUGUCCAUCAACAGAUGAAUGGAUUAAGAAAAUGUGGUACCU